rnacentral:lncRNA from 1 species
CAAUAUUGACCCAAAAUCCGAAUAGUAUUCACUUGACCACUGACUCUUUUUCUUGUUUUUCAAAUUAAAAUAAAUGACCCGGUAUUGCAAACACGGCCUUCCAGCAUCUCGGGGACAAAGAUUUUAAGGCUGUGAGGGUCAAAAAUCAAAAUAUGACCAAAGGUAACUAUUUAUGCAAAGUCAGCCUUUCGGUGCCCCGUUUGGGAAUAUUUGGCUAUUUUUGAUAAAAACGGCAUCACCUGGUUUAUUUAUGACAAAAAUUAAAAUUUUGAGAUUUUUUGGGCUAUUUUUUGUAAAGGGGAGGUUGGACCCGAUAAGGGUUUCCUACGUAUCUCACGCCCGGUGAGAAUCAAACCAUGCAUAGUUCGGAAAAAUUAACCAAACUAUUUUAAAAGAAGACUCUUUU